CAGAGGGUGCAAGCGUUGUUCGGAAUUAUUGGGCGUAAAGGGCGCGUAGGCGGUUCGGCAAGUCUCUAGUGAAAUCUCUGGGCUCAACUCAGAGUCUGCUGGGGAAACUGCCGGGCUCGAGUGUGGGAGAGGAGAGUGGAAUUUCCGGUGUAGCGGUGAAAUGCGUAGAUAUCGGGAGGAACACCUGUGGCGAAAGCGGCUCUCUGGACCACAACUGACGCUGAGGCGCGGAAGCUAGGGGAGCAAACAGGAUUAGAUACCCUGGUAGUCCUAGCCCUAAACGAUGAUUGCUUGGUGUGGUAGGUACCCAAUCCUACUGUGCCGAAGCUAACGCGAUAAGCAAUCCGCCUCGGGGAGUACGGUCGCAAGGCUG
rnacentral:rRNA from 1 species